GACGAACGCUGGCGGCGUGCUUAACACAUGCAAGUCGAACGGAAAGGCCCUGCUUUUGUGGGGUGCUCGAGUGGCGAACGGGUGAGUAACACGUGAGUAACCUGCCCUUGACUUUGGGAUAACUUCAGGAAACUGGGGCUAAUACCGGAUAGGAGCUCCUGCUGCAUGGUGGGGGUUGGAAAGUUUCGGCGGUUGGGGAUGGACUUGCGGCUUAUCAGCUUGUUGGUGGGGUUGUGGCUUACCAAGGCUUUGACGGGUAGCCGGCCGGGGAGGGUGACCGGCUCAAUGCGGCUAGGGGAACGGCCAGGGGCGAAUAGGGGGGAAGGGGGGGGGAACUUUGCCAAAGGGGCGGAGGCUGGGAGGAGGAGCGCCGGAUGGGGGAGGACGGCAUGUGGGGGGGAAGCGCUGUUCGUUGAGAACGAGCUGUUUGGACGGGAAAUGGAGAAAAAGCACCGGCUAACUUCGGG
rnacentral:rRNA from 1 species